CUUCGGAGGAGUUAGCGAAAUUCCAAUGUGUGCGGAUCGGCAAAAAAUGCAAAAUAACCCUUUAACCGUAAUUUUGACAGAUACGGCCGCACUGACUUUUUUGUAGAUCUUAUUGAGAUACAUAUGUGUGUCAAUUUUUGUGUCAAUAUGACAAAGUGUACAGGCGUGACAGUCAAUAGUGUGAAUUUCCACCUUAGGGGGCGCUAUGGAGCCAUUUUGCAUUUUAUUGUUUAGGCGACUUCAGAAUAUCGAAUUUUUCACCAGGCCCGGUCGUCCUGCCAAAUUUCAUGAGUUUUCGCCAGUGGGAAGUGGGCCAUUUUCCAGUUCAAAGGGGAGGAAAAAGAAGAAAGAAAGAAAGAACUAGGGCCCCGUUGGGGCACUGGCGGGCCCGAGCCGUGUCGCGCUGCCCCCCCCAACGCGCUGCCUCCUUGUCCCAUUCGCGUCCUCUGGCCAUCGCCCUCUCUGGUAACGCCCAUCACUGCAAAGACUCUUUCCUUCAUCGGCGUUUGCUGUUCUUCCUGCCAGUGCGUGUUGCUUUCACUUACACUUGCCACAGCCAGCCUCGUGAGUACCUAGCCUAUUGGAUAUCACUGUCAUCUACACAGGACAGUCAUAACCUUUCUAUUAAUACUUGUUUUUUAAUUUCACAUUAAUUUCAAUAUUGUAUAAAUGACUGGAAAAAACUUGAGCCCCUGCCCCUGUAUAAUCAUGUGCACGUCCCUGUUCUAGCUCCAAGGUGAAUCUUCACUGCUCAUGUUCUCCUCAGAAGUAGUCACCUCACUUUCCUCAGGUGACUGUACACAUGCACCAACUGCCUGCUUCAGGUUUGGAUGGAGCUUCAUGGUUGUCUUUUGGAGAAAUGAGCAGUCAAGUUGUGUUUGAAAUUUGAUUUUUUUCAGGGGCAAAAAGGGGCCUCUGCAUUCUAGUCAAAUAUGUAAAUAGCAUGUUUUUGCAGGUGCUAAAAAAAAGACUCUGAGUGUGUGUGUGUGUAUAUCCUGCAGUACUCUGAGAAGAAUAAUAAGCAUAUUUCUGAGGUGAAUUUUGAAGAUUCAUCUGAGAGUUAGGAGGGCUGAUCAUUCCCUUACCCUUUAGAUGUCUGUCUAUGUCUGUUUUUGUGUGAUAAUGAAAGAAUCCCAACUCAAAAAGGCUCUGUUGAUGUUUUUUUUUUGUUGUUGUUCAUUCAUAUUCAAACCACUAUUUUAUAUCACUGCUAAUACGCCAAGACCAUUUUAUGGAAUUUAGCUUUAUUAUUUCUAUACAUUUUGCAAGGAAAGAAACCAAGGCCUUCACUAAAAUUUCCAUAAACUUUAGGAAAGGACCUCUGGUUGUUUAACGGGGUCAUUACUGCAAAAACAUAUUCUUCCUAAAUUUUGAAGGUCAAACCUUAGAUCCAUUAGGUUUAAAUAGAAAAAGCAUUAAAAUAUGUUAGGAUUAUAGCAUAUGACAAAUAUGUGCCUUUCAGUGGCCACAACUACUUUGUCUGCUGGCUCUGCAGUCGAUUGACGCUCCCCAGCGUUCAAGUCACAUUACAUAUUUAACCGGAUGUAGCAGCAAGACGGAGCCUCGUUGACUCUCCGUUUCAACUUAUCUCAAAAGUGAGGACCUCAAACUAUACACCAGUUUUCAAAUUGUGUUGAUAGGCCAAAUAAAACCAGAGUUAUGAUAAAUUAUGUCCGCGAUACUUUUUUUCUGCUUAUUUUGAUCACGUUCGGCGCUCGAUCGCGCUGUAUGAGACAGGAAAACAUAGCAUGCAGACAUUAGCGACAGGUCUUACAGGCGGAAAAGGCUUGCCAAAGAAAAAAAAAAAACACACCACAACAUCUCUCCUAUUGGUGGAAAACUUCACCACAACAACCAAUCCAAAAUUAUAUGGUGACUGAUUGACAAAGGGGCGGGCGCUUACGUUCUUCCUGCAACAUGAGAAGGGAGGGAGGAACUCUCAGCAGGGAUGCAGUCUGGGACACGUAGUUGCAAACCUAGCGACUUUGUUGUUAGAUUCAAUGACUUUUCAGACCCCCUAACGACUUUUUUUUAGAAAGAAAGGGACUUUUAUCGACUUCUUCUGGAGUUUAGAGACUCUGACAUGAAGCAGGCUUUCCUUACUGAGGAGUUAGCAACGCUGCUAAGGGUGCAGAGCCACACAUGCGCUCCGAGCUCUGCAUGGGAGACUAAAGCUGACAGAGCUGCAGCAGUUAGCAGGUUCUCACCCUCAGAGACCACCAGGGGUUCAUGUUGAGGCAUUUUCAGUUUUUUUUUUUUUUUGCCAUAGACACUGUCAGCACAAUCUGCAGUUACACUAACAAAAAUGCUGCAAAAAACAAAGAAUUAUGGAAAAAUUACACAUGGACUGACAUAGAGGAGGAUCUACACAAGUUUUUACAUCAUGUUUUACAUCAUGCAUCAUUUACAUCAUGUUUUUUUGUAGUGGCAUAAAUAAAAAUUGACAUUUGUGAGACUAUACAGUGUUUUGUAAAUAAUUUUACAAAGAACGCCUGGGCCAUUGCCUGCAUUUUGAUGUAAAUAGAGGUAAAUUACUAUGUUCUUUGUUAAAAAUUUGCAUAUGUUUUGAAGUUUACAAUUUUUAUUUGAAGUUUAAGUUUUAAAAACAGUUCAUCACACAUAUUUGUGGUUUAAUUUCACAUUAAUUUCCAUAUUGUAUAAAUGACUGGAAAAAACUUGAGCCCCUGCCCCUGUAUAAUCAUGUGCACGUCCCUGUUCUAGCUCCAAGGUGAAUCUUCACUGCUCAUGUUCUCCUCAGAAAUAG